AGCUGUAUGGUGUAGUUUUUGGAAUGCUAGACUAGAAUUCCAAGAGAUCAGGGUUCGAAUCCCUGCUCAGCCA